rnacentral:lncRNA from 1 species
AGAAGAUAUGAGUUGAGGGUAGAGGUCCCCCAAGGACCCCUUUUAUAGGGUCUUGGGGGACGUUUUCCCCAUUCAUUUGUGUGGGGCCCACGCCAUUAAGGUAUCCUAUUAAGGAAUGCCCUAAUGGCGAGGGUCCGCUCAAGUAACGGCUGGGAGUCGGCGAUUCAGGUAUGGGAAUCGCCGAUCCAGAGGUUCAAUCGCCGACUCCCCAUGAGCCUAGUGGCAGCCUACCAGAGCUGUCCACGAGGCUUAGAGUUAGCGAUUCCCCCCUGGAGUCGGUGACUUGGUAUUCCAAAUCGGCGACUCCCAAGUGUUAGCUUGAGCUCUUGACGUAGACACGUGCUCCGCACCGUGGAAGCCUUUCCGGGGGUCCGACAUAUAGCG